AGCCGUGUGGUGAGCACAGGAACGAAUUAUUAUUUCGUCUUUUACUAAAGAAUACCUUGUGCUCUCCAUCUUAAGCGGCAUACGCCAAUAUUUGGAAGGGUGUUCCUUGUUGAAUGCC